rnacentral:rRNA from 1 species
GACGAACGCUGGCGGCGUGCUUAACACAUGCAAGUCGAACGGGAAGGCCCUGCUUGCAGGGUGCUCGAGUGGCGAACGGGUGCGUAACACGUGGGUGAUCUGCCCCUUACUUUGGGAUAAGCCUGGGAAACUGGGUCUAAUACUGGAUAGGACCAUGCUGUAGGUGGUGUGUUGGAAAGAUUUUUUCGGUAAGGGAUGAGCUCGCGGCCUAUCAGCUUGUUGGUGGGGUAAUGGCCUACCAAGGGGUCGACGGGUAGCCGGCCUGAGAGGGUGGACGGCCACAGUGGGACUGAGAUACGGCCCAGACUCCUACGGGAGGCAGCAGUGUGGAAUAUUGCACAAUGGGCGCAAGCCUGAUGCAGCGACGACGCGUGGGGGAUGACGGCCUUCGGGUUGUAAACUCCUUUCAGCCAUGACGAAGCCUCUUUUGGGGUGACGGUAGUGGUAGAAGAAGCACCGGCUAACUACGUG